rnacentral:misc_RNA from 1 species
AAAGAAAAUUAGGAAAAUAGAAAAGAAAAGCUUUAAUUCUUGCUUUUGCAGAUAAUGUUUGUACUUUCAGUUUGAACAUUCAAAAACGCUUCAAAAGCCUGGUACAGAUCCAAGAUUUCAGAAUCAGAAUUUAACUAUGUUAGCAUAGCAGGUCCUGUAUCCUCACGUUUGGUUGCCAAGAAAAUGAGGGAAAGUGAAAAAACGAGGGACAAAAAAUUUAUGAAAAUUUAGCUUGUGAAUCACGGAAAAACCUACCUCUCGAAAACGGAUUUGAUUCGUUAAAUGAUUGAGUUUGGCAAAUGUCAAGUCAGUCAGCAG